rnacentral:rRNA from 1 species
GCGAAGAACCUUACCUACUCUUGACAUCCAGAGAACUUAGCAGAGAUGCUUUGGUGCCUUCGGGAACUCUGAGACAGGUGCUGCAUGGCUGUCGUCAGCUCGUGUUGUGAAAUGUUGGGUUAAGUCCCGCAACGAGCGCAACCCUUAUCCUUGUUUGCCAGCGAGUAAUGUCGGGAACUCCAGGGAGACUGCCGGUGAUAAACCGGAGGAAGGUGGGGACGACGUCAAGUCAUCAUGGCCCUUACGAGUAGGGCUACACACGUGCUACAAUGGCGCAUACAGARGGSGGCCAACUUGCGAAAGUGAGCGAAUCCCAAAAAGUGCGUCAUAGUCCGGAUUGGAGUCUGCAACUCGACUCCAUGAAGUCGGA